rnacentral:tRNA from 1 species
GCGGGAGUGGCGGAAUUGGCAGACGCUGCGGACUUAGGAUCCGCUGGGGUCUUUCCCCGUGGGGGUUCGAGUCCCCCCUCCCGCA